rnacentral:rRNA from 1 species
UACAGGGGUCCCAAGCGUUGUUCGGAUUCAUUGGGCGUAAAGGGUGCGUAGGUGGCGCCGUCAGUGGGGUGUGAAAUUUCGGAGCUUAACUCCGAAACUGCAUUCCAUACUGCGGUGCUUGAGGACUGGAGAGGAGACUGGAAUUCAUGGUGUAGCAGUGAAAUGCGUAGAGAUCAUGAGGAAGACCAGUGGCGAAGGCGGGUCUCUGGACAGUUCCUGACACUGAGGCACGAAGGCUAGGGUAGCGAAAGGG